GACGAACGCUGGCGGCGUGCCUAAUACAUGCAAGUAGAACGCUGAAGAGAGGAGCUUGCUCUUCUUGGAUGAGUUGCGAACGGGUGAGUAACGCGUAGGUAACCUGCCUUGUAGCGGGGGAUAACUAUUGGAAACGAUUGCUAAUACCGCAUAACAAUGGAUGACACAUGUCAUUUAUUUGAAAGGGGCAAUUGCUCCACUACAAGAUGGACCUGCGUUGUAUUAGCUAGUAGGUGAGGUAAUGGCUCACCUAGGCGACGAUACAUAGCCGACCUGAGAGGGUGAUCGGCCACACUGGGACUGAGACACGGCCCAGACUCCUACGGGAGGCAGCAGUAGGGAAUCUUCGGCAAUGGGGGCAACCCUGACCGAGCAACGCCGCGUGAGUGAAGAAGGUUUUCGGAUCGUAAAGCUCUGUUGUAAGUCAAGAACGGGUGUGAGAGUGGAAAGUUCACACUGUGACGGUAGCUUACCAGAAAGGGACGGCUAACUACGU
rnacentral:rRNA from 1 species